rnacentral:rRNA from 1 species
AGUGAACGCUGGCGGUAGGCCUAACACAUGCAAGUCGAACGGCAGCACAGUAAGAGCUUGCUCUUACGGGUGGCGAGUGGCGGACGGGUGAGGAAUACAUCGGAAUCUACUUUUUCGUGGGGGAUAACGUAGGGAAACUUACGCUAAUACCGCAUACGACCUACGGGUGAAAGCAUGGGAUCUUCGGACCUUGCGCGAUUGAAUGAGCCGAUGUCGGAGUAGCUAGUUGGCGGGGUAAAGGCCCACCAAGGCGACGAUCCGUAGCUGGUCUGAGAGGAUGAUCAGCCACACUGGAACUGAGACACGGUCCAGACUCCUACGGGAGGCAGCAGUGGGGAAUAUUGGACAAUGGGCGCAAGCCUGAUCCAGCCAUACCGCGUGGGUGGAGAAGGCCUUCAGGUUGUAAAGCCCUUUUGUUGGGAAAGAAAAGCAGCAGGUUAAUACCCCGCUGUUCUGACGGUACCCAAAGAAUAAGCACCGGCUAACUUCGUG